GGGGAUAUAGCUUAGUUGGUAGAGUGUUUGCCUAGUAUGCAGAAAGCCCUGGGUUUGACCCCCAGCACCA
rnacentral:tRNA from 1 species